GGGAUUUUAGUAUAACGGUGAAUGCAUAUGACUUUUAAUCAUCAAAAUGUAGGUUCGAUCCCUACAAACCCUA
rnacentral:tRNA from 1 species